rnacentral:rRNA from 1 species
AAUCAACGCUGGCGGCGUGCCUAACACAUGCAAGUCGAACGCGAAAGGGGAGCAAUCCCUGAGUAGAGUGGCAAACGGGUGAGUAACACGUGGGUGACCUGCCUUCGAGUGGGGGAUAACGUCCCGAAAGGGACGCUAAUACCGCAUGACAUCCUGCUUUUGGAAAAGCGGAGAUCAAAGCUGGGGAUCGCAAGACCUGGCGCUUGAAGAGGGGCCCGCGCCUGAUUAGCUAGUUGGUGAGGUAAUGGCUCACCAAGGCUACGAUCAGUAUCCGGCCUGAGAGGGCGGACGGACACACUGGGACUGAGACACGGCCCAGACUCCUACGGGAGGCAGCAGUGGGGAAUUGUUCGCAAUGGGCGCAAGCCUGACGACGCAACGCCGCGUGGAGGACGAAGAUCUUCGGGUCGUAAACUCCUGUCGAGUGGGAAGAACACCUUCUGGAUGAAUAAUCCGGGAGGCUGACGGUACCACUAAAGGAAGCCCCGGCUAACUCCGUG